rnacentral:rRNA from 1 species
AAUCAACGCUGGCGGCGUGCCUAACACAUGCAAGUCGAACGAGAAAGUGGGAGCAAUCCUGCGAGUACAGUGGCAGACGGGUGAGUAACACGUGAACAACCUGCCCUCGAGUGGGGAAUAACACCGCGAAAGCGGUGCUAAUACCGCAUAACAUCGCUGGGACGCAUGUCCUGGCGAUUAAAGGCGAAAGUCGCUUGAGGAGGGGUUCGCGUCUGAUUAGCUAGUUGGUGAGGUAACGGCCCACCAAGGCGACGGAUCAGUAGCCGGCCUGAGAGGGCGAACGGCCACACUGGAACCUGAGACACGGUCCAGACUCCUACGGGAGGCAG